rnacentral:rRNA from 1 species
UACGAAGGGGGCUAGCGUUGCUCGGAAUCACUGGGCGUAAAGGGUGCGUAGGCGGGUCUUUAAGUCAGGGGUGAAAUCCUGGAGCUCAACUCCAGAACUGCCUUUGAUACUGAAGAUCUUGAGUUCGGGAGAGGUGAGUGGAACUGCGAGUGUAGAGGUGAAAUUCGUAGAUAUUCGCAAGAACACCAGUGGCGAAGGCGGCUCACUGGCCCGAUACUGACGCUGAGGCACGAAAGCGUGGGGAGCAAGCGGG